rnacentral:rRNA from 1 species
GAUGAACGCUGGCGGCGUGCCUAAUACAUGCAAGUCGAGCGAACAGACGAGGAGCUUGCUCCUCUGACGUUAGCGGCGGACGGGUGAGUAACACGUGGAUAACCUACCUAUAAGACUGGGAUAACUUCGGGAAACCGGAGCUAAUACCGGAUAACAUGUUGAACCGCAUGGUUCAACAGUGAAAGACGGUCUUACUGUCACUUAUAGAUGGAUCCGCGCCGCAUUAGCUAGUUGGUAAGGUAACGGCUUACCAAGGCAACGAUGCGUAGCCGACCUGAGAGGGUGAUCGGCCACACUGGAACUGAGACACGGUCCAGACUCCUACGGGAGGCAGCAGUAGGGAAUCUUCCGCAAUGGGCGAAGGCCUGACGGAGCAACGCCGCGUGAGUGAAGAAGGUCUUCGGAUCGUAAAACUCUGUUAUUAGGGAAGAACAAAUGUGUAAGUAACUAUGCACGUCUUGACGGUACCUAAUCAGAAAGCCACGGCUAACUACGUG